AGUGAACGCUGGCGGUAGGCCUAACACAUGCAAGUCGAACGGCAGCACAGUAAGAGCUUGCUCUUACGGGUGGCGAGUGGCGGACGGGUGAGGAAUACAUCGGAAUCUACUUUUUCGUGGGGGAUAACGUAGGGAAACUUACGCUAAUACCGCAUACGACCUACGGGUGAAAGCAGGGGAUCUUCGGACCUUGCGCGAUUGAAUGAGCCGGUGUCGGAUUAGCUAGUUGGCGGGGUAAAGGCCCACCAAGGCGACGAUCCGUAGCUGGUCUGAGAGGAUGAUCGGCCACACUGGAACUGAGACACGGUCCAGACUCCUACGGGAGGCAGCAGUGGGGAAUAUUGGACAAUGGGCGCAAGCCUGAUCCAGCCAUACCGCGUGGGUGAAGAAGGCCUUCGGGUUGUAAAGCUCUUUUGUUGGGAAAGAAAAGCAGCAGGUUAAUACCCCGCUGUUCUGACGGUACCCAAAGAAUAAGCACCGGCUAACUUCGUG
rnacentral:rRNA from 1 species